CACGUAGGGGGCAAGCGUUGUCCGGAUUUAUUGGGCGUAAAGAGCUCGUAGGCGGUUUGGUAAGUCGGGUGUGAAACCUCCAGGCUCAACCUGGAGAUGCCACCUGAUACUGCUGUGACUCGAGUCCGGUAGGGGAGCGUGGAAUUCCUGGUGUAGCGGUGAAAUGCGCAGAUAUCAGGAGGAACACCAGCGGCGAAGGCGGCGCUCUGGGCCGGAACUGACGCUGAGGAGCGAAAGCGUGGGUAGCAAACAGG
rnacentral:rRNA from 1 species